rfam:Chthoniobacter flavus Ellin428 ctg78, whole genome shotgun sequence.
CCCAGCACUGGCGUGCUGGGCUAUUUUCUUUCGCCCUGCGGGCU